rnacentral:lncRNA from 1 species
GGGUGUGUUUUGUAUCAAAUUUAUGUAUAAAAUAAGGGUUUUUGAACCGUUAUUAGUUUUGCAUGGAGUUUAAGGUUAAUAUAUGUUUUGCAUGGAUUGUAUUUUAAUCUUGCAUGUAAAGCAUGUAACCAUAUUUAUGAGCAAAUAAUUGGAUUUUAGUGAAAUAGAAAGGGGCAUAGAAGAAAGUUUGAAAAAUAAAAGUGAGUUGGCUGGGGUACAUGUUAUAUGUGAAACAAAGAAUGGAGAGUGUAGUAGUGGUUAUGUGAAAAUGGGUGCAUGUAUAGGUUAUAUAAAUAUAAGAGGGAGAUAUAUGAAGUGUGAUGGCAUACCCAUUGCCAUGGCCUAGUACAUUCAUGAAGAGUUGGAGACAUCUAUGGAAGAUGGGCCUAGACUCUUUCUCUUGGGCCAUCUUAAGUCAUCAUGAAGAUUUAGUAGAGUAAGAAUAAUUUUGGGCCUUGUAUUUUGGGCC